rnacentral:rRNA from 1 species
AUUGAACGCUGGCGGCAGGCCUAACACAUGCAAGUCGAGCGGGGUUUUCGGACCUAGCGGCGGACGGGUGAGUAAUGCGUAGGAAGCUGCCCGAUAGAGGGGGAUACCAGUUGGAAACGACUGUUAAUACCGCAUAAUGUCUACGGACCAAAGUGUGGGACCUUCGGGCCACAUGCUAUCGGAUGCGCCUACGUGGGAUUAGCUAGUUGGUGAGGUAAUGGCUCACAAAGGCGACGAUCUCUAGCUGGUUUGAGAGGAUGAUCGGCCAAACUGGAACUGAGACAAGGUCCAGAGUCCUACGGGAGGCAGCAGUGGGGAAUCUUGGACAAUGGGCGAAAGCCUGAUCCAGCCAUGCCGCGUGUGUGAAGAAGGUCUUCGGAUUGUAAAGCACUUUAAGUUGGGAGGAAGGGUUGUAGAUUAAUACUCUGCAAUUUUGACGUUACCAACAGAAUAAGCACCGGCUAACUUCGUGCCAGCAGCCGCAGUAACAC